rnacentral:tRNA from 1 species
AAAAAUUUAGUUAAAAAAUAACAUUAGUUUGUCAAACUAAAAUUAUUAAGUAUUAAUAAUUUUUA